GCCGCGAUAGCUCAGUCGGGAGAGCGUUAGACUGAAGAUCUAAAGGUCGCUGGUUCAAUCCCGGCUCGCGGCA
rfam:Gongylonema pulchrum genome assembly, scaffold: GPTH_contig0011468